AUUUUUUAUAAAAAUAAUUUAUUUAUUUAAUGUUUUAGUAUUUAGUAAAAAUUAAUUUUUAGAUUUAUAGUUUAAUAGUAUUGUAAAAGAAUUAAUUAAAUUUAAAAAAGAAUAUUUUUAGUACCUUUUGUAUCAGGGUUGAUUAAAAUUUUUAAUUUUUUUUUAAUUUCUCAAAAUUUAUAGAGUUAAUUUUAUUAUUAAUUUAUUGUGUUAUAAAUAUUUAUAAAAUAAUAUUAGUUUUGAAAUUUAAUUCGUUAUAUUAUAUUUAGUUAUUUAAGAUUUAAAUUUAAUUUAUAAUUUUAAAAGUUAUAUUGAUUUUAUAUAUAAAUAUUUUAAAUUUGAAUUAUUUUAGGGAUAAGCUUGAAAUUUUUAUAUAAUAAUUUAUUUAUUUUAAUAAUUUAUAGGAAUAGAAAUUUUUAUUUUAAGUUUGUAAAAAUUUAUUAUUUAUUUAUUUUUAAUUUAUUAUAAAUUUAUUUAUUUUUUUUAUUAAAUUUUAUUAAUUAAUAUUUAAUUUUUAGUAAUAAUGAUUAAAUUAGUAUAAUUUAAAUUUAUAAAUUAUGAAUUCGGCAAAAAUUAUUUUCAUCUGUUUAACAAAAACAUUGUAUUAAGUUUUAUUUAAUAUAGGAUCUGCUCAAUGAUUUAUUAAAUAGCUGCAGUAUUUUGACUGUGCAAAGGUAGCAUAAUAAUUAGUCUUUUAAUUGAGGACUUGUAUGAAAGAUUUGAUGAGAAAUAGACUUUAUUAUUUAUAAAAUUAAAAUUUUAUUUUUAAGUAAAAAAGCUUAAAUUAUUUAAAGGGACGAUAAGACCCUAUAAAACUUUAUAAAUAUUAAUUUUAAUUUUUUUGGAUUAAUAGAUAUUUUAUUUUUAUUAUUUAUUUUAUUGGGGUGAUAAAAAAAUUUAUUAAACUUUUUUUAAAAUUUUACAUWAUUUAAUGAAUAUUUGAAUUAAAAUUUUUAAUUAAAGGAAAAAGUUACUUUAGGGAUAACAGCGUAAUUAAUUUUUUAAGUUCAAAUUUAAAAAUUAGUUUGCGACCUCGAUGUUGAAUUAAGAUUAAUCUUAGGUGCAAAAUUUUAAGUAUUAGGUCUG
rnacentral:rRNA from 1 species